rnacentral:rRNA from 1 species
UACGGAGGGGGCUAGCGUUGUUCGGAAUUACUGGGCGUAAAGCGCGCGUAGGUGGUCCUUUAAGCGUGUGGUGAAAACUCGGGGCUUAACCCCGAGCCUGCUUCCGAUACGGGCAGACUAGAGGUAGGCAGGGGAGAGCGGAACUCCUGGUGUAGCGGUGAAAUGCGCAGAUAUCAGGAGGAACACCGGUGGCGAAGGCGGCUUGCUGGGCCUUACCUGACGCUGAGGAGCGAAAGCGUGGGGAGCGAACAGG